AGUGAACGCUGGCGGUAGGCCUAACACAUGCAAGUCGAACGGCAGCACAGUAAGAGCUUGCUCUUACGGGUGGCGAGUGGCGGACGGGUGAGGAAUACAUCGGAAUCUACUUUUUCGUGGGGGAUAACGUAGGGAAACUUACGCUAAUACCGCAUACGACCUACGGGUGAAAGCAGGGGAUCUUCGGACCUUUCGCGAUUGAAUGAGCCGAUGUCGGAUUAGCUAGUUGGCGGGGUAAAGGCCCACCAAGGCGACGAUCCGUAGCUGGUCUGAGAGGAUGAUAAGCCACACUGGAACUGAGACACGGUCCAGACUCCUACGGGAGGCAGCAGUGGGGAAUAUUGGACAAUGGGCGCAAGCCUGAUCCAGCCAUACCGCGUGGGUGAAGAAGGCCUUCGGGUUGUAAAGCCCUUUUGUUGGGAAAGAAAAGCAGCAGGUUAAUACCCCGCUGUUCUGACGGUACCCAAAGAAUAAGCACCGGCUAACUUCGUG
rnacentral:rRNA from 1 species